rnacentral:rRNA from 1 species
AGUGAACGCUGGCGGUAGGCCUAACACAUGCAAGUCGAACGGCAGCACAGUAAGAGCUUGCUCUUACGGGUGGCGAGUGGCGGACGGGUGAGGAAUACAUCGGAAUCUACUUUUUCGUGGGGAUAACGUAGGGAACCUUACGCUAAUACCCCAUACGACCUACGGGUGAAAGCAGGGGAUCUUCGGACCUUGCGCGAUUGAAUGAGCCGAUGUCGGAUUAGCUAGUUGGCGGGGUAAAGGCCCACCAAGGCGACGAUCCGUAGCUGGUCUGAGAGGAUGAUCAGCCACACUGGAACUGAGACACGGUCCAGACUCCUACGGGAGGCAGCAGUGGGGAAUAUUGGACAAUGGGCGCAAGCCUGAUCCAGCCAUACCGCGUGGGUGAAGAAGGCCUUCGGGUUGUAAAGCCCUUUUGUUGGGAAAGAAAAGCAGCAGGUUAAUACCCCUCUGUUCUGACGGUACCCAAAGAAUAAGCACCGGCUAACUUCGUG